GACGAACGCUGGCGGCGUGCCUAAUACAUGCAAGUCGAGCGGACCAAAGGGAGCUUGCUCCUGGAGGUCAGCGGCGAACGGGUGAGUAACACGUGGGCAACCUGCCUGUAAGACUGGGAUAACAUCGAGAAAUCGGUGCUAAUACCGGAUAAUAAAAAGAACUGCAUGGUUCUUUUUUGAAAGAUGGUUUCGGCUAUCACUUACAGAUGGGCCCGCGGCGCAUUAGCUAGUUGGUGAGGUAACGGCUCACCAAGGCAACGAUGCGUAGCCGACCUGAGAGGGUGAUCGGCCACACUGGGACUGAGACACGGCCCAGACUCCUACGGGAGGCAGCAGUAGGGAAUCUUCCGCAAUGGACGAAAGUCUGACGGAGCAACGCCGCGUGAGUGAUGAAGGUUUUCGGAUCGUAAAACUCUGUUGUUAGGGAAGAACAAGUGCCGUUCGAAAGGGCGGCACCUUGACGGUACCUAACGAGAAAGCCACGGCUAACUACGUGCCAGCAGCCGCG
rnacentral:rRNA from 1 species